AGUGAACGCUGGCGGUAGGCCUAACACAUGCAAGUCGAACGGCAGCACAGUAAGAGCUUGCUCUUACGGGUGGCGAGUGGCGGACGGGUGAGGAAUACAUCGGAAUCUACUUUUUCGUGGGGGAUAACGUAGGGAAACUUACGCUAAUACCGCAUACGACCUACGGGUGAAAGCAGGGGAUCUUCGGACCUUGCGCGAUUGAUUGAGCCGAUGUCGGUUUAGCUAGUUGGCGGGGUAAAGGCCCACCAAGGCGACGAUCCGUAGCUGGUCUGAGAGGAUGAUCAGCCACACUGGAACUGAGACACGGUCCAGACUCCUACGGGAGGCAGCAGUGGGGAAUAUUGGACAAUGGGCGCAAGCCUGAUCCAGCCAUACCGCGUGGGUGAAGAAGGCCUUCGGGUUGUAAAGCCCUUUUGUUGGGAAAGAAAAGCAGCAGGUUAAUACCCCGCUGUUCUGACGGUACCCAAAGAAUAAGCACCGGCUAACUUCGUG
rnacentral:rRNA from 1 species